GAAUGCUGACAUAAGUAACGAUAAAGCGGGUGAAAAGCCCGCUCGCCGGAAGACCAAGGGUUCCUGUCCAACGUUAAUCGGGGCAGGGUGAGUCGACCCCUAAGGCGAGGCCGAAAGGCGUAGUCGAUGGGAAACAGGUUAAUAUUCCUGUACUUGGUGUUACUGCGAAGGGGGGACGGAGAAGGCUAUGUUAGCCGGGCGACGGUUGUCCCGGUUUAAGCAUGUAGGCUGGUUAUCCAGGCAAAUCCGGAUAAUCAAGGCUGAGGUGUGAUGACGAGGCACUACGGUGCUGAAGUAACAAAUGCCCUGCUUCCAGGAAAAGCCUCUAAGCAUCAGGUAACAUCAAAUCGUACCCCAAACCGACACAGGUGGUCAGGUAGAGAAUACCAAGGCGCUUGAGAGAACUCGGGUGAAGGAACUAGGCAAAAUGGUGCCGUAACUUCGGGAGAAGGCACGCUGGUGUGUAGGUGAAGUCCCUGCGGAUGGAGCUGAGACCAGUCGAAGAUACCAGCUGGCUGCAACUGUUUAUUAAAAACACAGCACUGUGCAAACACGAAAGUGGACGUAUACGGUGUGACGCCUGCCCGGUGCCGGAAGGUUAAUUGAUGGGGUUAUCCGUAAGGAGAAGCUCUUGAUCGAAGCCCCGGUAAACGGCGGCCGUAACUAUAACGGUCCUAAGGUAGCGAAAUUCCUUGUCGGGUAAGUUCCGACCUGCACGAAUGGCGUAAUGAUGGCCAGGCUGUCUCCACCCGAGACUCAGUGAAAUUGAACUCGCUGUGAAGAUGCAGUGUACCCGCGGCAAGACGGAAAGACCCCGUGAACCUUUACUAUAGCUUGACACUGAACAUUGAGCCUUGAUGUGUAGGAUAGGUGGGAGGCUUUGAAGCGUGGACGCCAGUCUGCGUGGAGCCAACCUUGAAAUACCACCCUUUAAUGUUUGAUGUUCUAACGUUGGCCCCUGACCGGGGUUGCGGACAGUGUCUGGUGGGUAGUUUGACUGGGGCGGUCUCCUCCCAAAGCGUAACGGAGGAGCACGAAGGUUAGCUAAUCCUGGUCGGACAUCAGGAGGUUAGUGCAAUGGCAUAAGCUAGCUUGACUGCGAGCGUGACGGCGCGAGCAGGUGCGAAAGCAGGUCAUAGUGAUCCGGUGGUUCUGAAUGGAAGGGCCAUCGCUCAACGGAUAAAAGGUACUCCGGGGAUAACAGGCUGAUACCGCCCAAGAGUUCAUAUCGACGGCGGUGUUUGGCACCUCGAUGUCGGCUCAUCACAUCCUGGGGCUGAAGUAGGUCCCAAGGGUAUGGCUGUUCGCCAUUUAAAGUGGUACGCGAGCUGGGUUUAGAACGUCGUGAGACAGUUCGGUCCCUAUCUGCCGUGGGCGCUGGAGAAUUGA
rnacentral:rRNA from 1 species